GCGGUCCUUCAAAAAACGCAUCACCCUUCAUCAUCCGCACGCAAGAUCCCCUUCAUCCUCCCCAGGCACGAGCGGGCGCACCCCUGCCGGCGGCGCCGCCGCCUUCCUCGUGGAGUCCGCGGCCAAAUUCCACGCCGGGAGCAGCGGUCUCCAUCUCUCCAACUCCUCCCUCUCCCUCGAGCCUCGACCUCCCCGGCAACCUUCCUCCCCUCCCAAGUCCAGGAGACGCAUGGGGGCGGCGGCGGCGAGGCCCCCUCACCAUGGCUAGGGUUUCGGGCGCCUCCAUACUGGCAUGGCUCCGGCGCCUCUGGCCGCUCCUCUCCGACGCCCACCACGCCCCCACACGCAGCUCCUUCUCUAGGAUGAUGCUCCUCCUCCCGGUGGCCAUGGGAUGUGUAGGGCAAGGAUUGGAUGUUUGAGGAAGGAGGGGUCGACCUUGCCUUGCUGCAGCUCGGGACGCAACACCCAUGGAGCUUCCUCCUUUCUGUCUUCAGGGAGCUGCUACUGAAAGAUGAAAAAAAAUGGUACUGUUUGAGGUCCAUGUGCCUCCCGUGCUCACCAACUUGCUACUGUUUGAGCUCAUUUUUUGGUAUGUUAAUUGAUCCGUGCUCUGUUGCAUCCCACCCUCCCCCCCCCCCGGCGACGGUAGCCAACACUGCGCUUCCUUCUCAGAUUUUUCUGCUGCAUGUUGCAGGUGUGUUUGAGGCAUCGACAAGCGACGACAGGGUUCGACAUUGGUUGAGCUAGCUACUGGGGACGCCUCUUUCUCAAUUAUCUCUAUCUCCGUCUCUAUCAUGAUAUUUAGAAGCCAUCUAUUAAUGUCGUCGAUGCCUAAUUCCAAAAUCCCGUCUCGCUCGCUCUCGAUACCCCGUCCCUCUCUAGAGUUACGGGAUGCGCCGCCGCCACCAGCAUGGUCCCAACGGCCACCGUGAGUCUCCCCGGUCGACGUCCCCAUCCGUCUAUGCUCCGAGCUCGACGGUUCCAGUAAGACAAUAGACAAUGGUGACAGUGAGGUGACAUUUCGUAGUGCUGUCGAUGUCAAGUAUGUCGAAAAUUGUUGUCUUUUUAUUUCUCAUUUACUUAUUUAUUUCACAUUUACUUAGCCAACUUAUUUUACUACCUGGGGUGUUCUGUAGUUUUGUUUCUAAAACAGAUUGCGUUUUGUUUUGUUCUGGAGUGUUGGUACUGAUGCAUAAAACUACUGCAUCUAAAAUGGCAUGGUAUUAGUAUUUUUAGUUUUAAAAGAAUGCCACUUGCCUUAAGCUCUCAGUAAAUCAAAAUAUGUACUGACGUUAUCUACACUUGAAUAUUGUAUUUUAUCAACACUUGAAUAUGCAUUAUGAUUUAGUGCACAUUCAACAAAUAGUCAAUGGAUCAGUAUUUUCCGGAAACUUUCUAUUCCAUAUGAAGUUAUGUUUUCAGCUUGAUAUAUUAAUAAUAUUUUUACCAUGUUUCUUGUAAAUGUCUAUUUGAGAACUUUGCAGCUAAAUUGGUGCCUGUAUAUUAUAGAAGACACUUGAAAAUGGAUUCAGCAUGGUUCCUGCAGUCCCAACUUUUCAUUGUUGACUUCACGUCAAAAAACAAUUAUUCAUCAUGGGCAGAGUCAUGGUUGUUCGUGACUAUGCAAGAAGAUGAUCGAGGGUCGGCGGCGUCGCUGCUUCGUCGUCAUCUUUGACGAGCACCGUCCAACACAAUUUUCCGCUGGCAUGUUCCAUGGAAUGUCACUCUUUCAUCAUGGCAUCCAACACUUGCAGAUGUGACUUAAAAGGGGGUUCUGAAGCUGAUGAACUUGGAUGGCCUGACAGUCUAACAUACCAACAACCAUCUCCAAAUACACGAACUUGAAGAAUUUCUUAGUUUCAUACACACCUUCAGAAUUUUUUUUCCAGUAAAGAUCAGGGUGCCAGCAGUGUUUCCAUUAUGUUUCAGGAGAAAUUUGGAUCUUUUUGGACAGUUAUUCCAGCCAACUUUCUGAAUGAGUAUAAAAACAACACUAUGAGUACAAAGAGGAGAUAAAAGGAGUAUUGGAAAGCUUAAAACCAGCCCCCCGAAACCACUCUGGCUCGAGAAAGAAGAAAAUAUUUCACAUGAUCUGUCCGAUCUACUACAGGUAAUUUGGUCUUCUCUUGUGCACAACCAUCACAACCAAGCCGGGGAGUGCCAGAGGUCACAACUUGAAAUUUUUAACUGCAAUAUUUGUUGGUCAGUGUCCUCCUCUAAAAUUGUUCGUAAGGUAAUGCUUUAUUCUGUAUAGCAUCCUUGGAAGAUUGUGUGGUGUGAUGCUUUAUUUAUAAAGCGGGGCGUAGAGCCCUUUUCGUUAUUCUGUAGAGCAAAGAGAAAGAGCCUCAGUUUGGUAUAGCAAUGGAGUGAUCCUUCGUUGGAAGAAACAUUGGUGUGAAACAGAUAGACUUACUGUUUUUUUAUACUAGCAUAGUGUUGGUUGUUAAUUUUAAGUGUACCAUCAGUUUUUUCAACCAAUGAAGUUAUGCUCACGACAUGGAGAACUUCAAGGACAACCUGCCUGAACAGUUUCUACCUGAUUAGUGAACUAGGCCAUUUACUAUACAGAUAGUUAUUUUUGUUGCAAGUUACGCCCGUUGCUUCUAAAUACUGCACUUUUGGUUGCAUUUUGCAACUAAGAAUAAUAAGCAGACGCUAAAACAUUCGAGCAAUGCCCAAGGUUAGUACAGGAAGCAUAGUAGUUUGCUUUCGUAGAAAUUAUAUUCCUUUUUUCCACUACUGUGAACAUGGACGUGAGUAGGUAAUUGCUCCUAAAAGAAACCUAAUUAAUGUAUUGUUGAACCUAAUUUUGAGAUGAUUUUUAUUCUACCAUUAUACAGUGCACAUCAGCAUCGUCUAAAUACAUAUGCCUCUGGGGUUUUCUUUUUGGUGGCAAAUUGAUUCUUGCAAUCAUAGCGGAAAGGUCAGCAGUAAGGCACUUUACACUGAUGAAAUUUGCAUAAGUAUUCCUCUUUGUGAUAAGAUUUCACCAAAAGUUUCAACAUUAAGAUGUUUACUUAGUUAAAUCCUGAACUAAGGCACCCACCCAUACAUGUAUAAGCGCCAGAAAAUAAAACAAUAUGCAAAGAAUUUUUCAGCUUUCGGGCUAUAAGUGUUAGACAUUUUCAUAAGAAAUGCUGAAUGUUAGUAUCAAUUGAAUCAAUUUGACCUUACACGCAGCGCAGGUACUGUUAAAUCUGUAGUUGUAAUUUAUUCACCUGUAACUUGAUUUUCUUUUCACUUCUCUUUUUAUAAAGUCAUGUAGUCGGCUAUAAUAAUCAUAUUUUUUUUCUUUUUAGAGAGAAAUUGUGUGUCUGCUCUGGUUUCAGUUUUAACGUCAGCUCGUUACAAUCCGUAACUACUUAUAGACUACUUCAUCCGGAUGGGUUUGCAACUUUGUGUACAGUCUGCUUCAACACUUCUAUUUUCUAUAUGACUUGGAUUAAUAAUCUCCAACAGUAUGGUCAUGCUUUUUAUAUUUACUUUCAGUUCUAAAUACAUUUGUGCUUUUCUCUUUGUUGUACUACUAAACUAUGUGUGCUAAACUAAACAUAAAAAUAUGAUGGGGUGGUGGUUUCAGCCACAGAAAGAAUUGUUUUGGAGAACAAAGGGAAUUUUCGGCGGACGAAGAACUCGCUCCAGAUGCUCCAGUGAUGAUUUUAUAUAGCGUUUUAUCUAAACCUGGGUUCCUUCUUUUAGACUGGGCGGUGCCAUAUGAUGUGAAGCCGGUAUAAUAACUUUUUCAUUUGGCAUCGGUUGUGAGGUGGCAACCUUUUAGACAAUUUGACACCUGUAACACAGUGGAAGACCUCAUACGAGAUGGUUGCCUUCUUGAUAGUUGUUGCGGCUUCUGAAUUAAGUGUACCACUAUGUUUAAAACACCAUGAUCAGAAGCUUUGGUGGGUGUACCGAUUGACUCUUAUUACAUGACUAUUUCUAAGAUUGAUUCUUAUUGGGUUAGGGGCA